AGUACCUCGAAUACACUAUGAAUAAUAACGACGAUCACAUUUCAACGAAAUAAUACAAAAUAUAAAUUAAAUAGCAUGAGGAUCUAUAUUUUUGUUUCAAAGAAAAAGAAGAAGGUUUGCAACCACAUCAUUUGAAAAAUUUGCAAAACCCAAAGAAAGAAAAGAAAAAGACUAAAACCUAUAACAUGGUUUUUUAUUAAACAAAACUUAUAACAUGGUUUUUUAUUAAAACUAAAACUUAUAACAUGAUUUUUAAUUAAACAAAGUUUUCCUUUAAAUUUUUACACUUGGAUUAUUUUAUUCUUUAAAUGUUUCAGAAAAGAAAAAGAAAAAUAAUCCUGAAAUCAAGAGAUUAAAUACUUGUGUGAUAAAUUUGGUAUAGAAAUAAAGAUGUGGGGCUCAUCGGACCUAUUUCAAUCGUAACAAAUAAAGUGGAUUAUUUAUAAAAUUGGCUCACAAAAUUGUAGUUAUAUUCAAAGUUCUAAAAGACAUUAAGCGCUAGUCAGGCGGUAAACAAGGAUAAGAGUUUAGACGAG
rnacentral:lncRNA from 1 species